rnacentral:rRNA from 1 species
AUAUUGCACAAUGGGCGAAAGCCUGAUGCAGCAACGCCGCGUGAGUGAUGAAGGCCUUCGGGUCGUAAAACUCUGUCCUCAAGGAAGAUAAUGACGGUACUUGAGGAGGAAGCCCCGGCUAACUACGUGCCAGCAGCCGCGGUAAUACGUAGGGGGCUAGCGUUAUCCGGAUUUACUGGGCGUAAAGGGUGCGUAGGCGGUCUUUCAAGUCAGGAGUGAAAGGCUACGGCUCAACCGUAGUAAGCUCUUGAAACUGGGAGACUUGAGUGCAGGAGAGGAGAGUGGAAUUCCUAGUGUAGCGGUGAAAUGCGUAGAUAUUAGGAGGAACACCAGUUGCGAAGGCGGCUCUCUGGACUGUAACUGACGCUGAGGCACGAAAGCGUGGGGAGCAAACAGGAUUAGAUACCCUGGUAGUCCACGCUGUAAACGAUGAGUACUAGGUGUCGGGGGUUACCCCCCUCGGUGCCGCAGCUA